rnacentral:rRNA from 1 species
AGAGUUUGAUCCUGGCUCAGGACGAACGCUGGCGGCGUGCCUAAUACAUGCAAGUCGAACGCUUCUUUUUCCACCGGAGCUUGCUCCACCGGAAAAAGAGGAGUGGCGAACGGGUGAGUAACACGUGGGUAACCUGCCCAUCAGAAGGGGAUAACACUUGGAAACAGGUGCUAAUACCGUAUAACAAUCAAAACCGCAUGGUUUUGAUUUGAAAGGCGCUUUCGGGUGUCGCUGAUGGAUGGACCCGCGGUGCAUUAGCUAGUUGGUGAGGUAACGGCUCACCAAGGCCACGAUGCAUAGCCGACCUGAGAGGGUGAUCGGCCACAUUGGGACUGAGACACGGCCCAAACUCCUACGGGAGGCAGCAGUAGGGAAUCUUCGGCAAUGGACGAAAGUCUGACCGAGCAACGCCGCGUGAGUGAAGAAGGUUUUUGGAUCGUAAAACUCUGUUGUUAGAGAAGAACAAGGAUGAGAGUAACUGUUCAUCCCUUGMCGGUAUCUAACCAGAAAGCCACGGCUAACUACGUGCCAGCA